UGGCUCUUGGCUCAAGCUUCACCACGGAAGCCUGGAUAGAGAAAGUGAUUAUCAUGGGAGCCGUUCAGCCCAGCUCAGUCUUUUUGAAGACCACAGAAAUUUGGCUCUUGGCUCAAGCUUCACCACGGAAGCCUGGAUAGAGAAAGUGAUUAUCAUGGGAGCCGUUCAGCCCAGCUCAGUCUUUUUGAAGACCACAGAAAUUUGGCUCUUGGCUCAAGCUUCACCACGGAAGCCUGGAUAGAGAAAGUGAUUAUCAUGGGAGCCGUUCAGCCCAGCUCAGUCUUUUUGAAGACCACAGGUAAAAAUGUUUUGAUCAUUCCACCCAGCCCUAAUCCAAAUAGAAAUAUCAGCAGGGAAGGACCAUCCAGACUGUUAUCAGUGAAAGGUUCAAAAGCCAACUGUCAUGGUAUGGAGAUGCAUCAGUGCCCACGU